rnacentral:lncRNA from 1 species
AGUUCCACUCAUGAUGGACCCAAACUACAUUGAGAAGUACAAGUGACUAAACUGAUCUAUUUUUAUAUGAGCAUCCUCCUUCGAAGAAGCCGAGUAUUAAUUAGCAGAGAUAGAGAAGACAUUCGCAACUCUUAGAGUGAUUUUUGAAUAGAAGGUUCUACUUGCCACCUAUAUGCUUGUGGGUGAGGCAGGUCGCUGGUGGCAACUGAAUCACGCCACUCUGCCUAUUUCAAUCACUUG